UUUUCAGGAGUUCACCCGCCGUGCAAUGUUGAGAUGAAAAGCACAUUAUCCUGGUCCUGGAGUUUAUAAUCCAGCUCACCCUGCAGGCCAAGAAAAAAAAUGAAAAAUUGUUCAAAUGUCAUUUCCAAAUACAAGCUGCAAAGAGAAAACAGCUCAUAAAAGGAUGAUCAAAUAAAGGGGACGCAGGAGCAAUCCCAGAGCUCAUUUGAAUGAAAAGGCACCGUUCCCUAGGAUGCUCCAGGAUGACUGCAUUUCCGUACGAUGCAGAAAAGCCAGGUAAUUAAAACCCACGCACGACAGUCGAGUGCAGUGAGCUCAGUGUGAAGGUAGGAAAAGCCAUGCCAGUGCCCCUACCAGAGGCAUGAAACACCUGGGAUCCACUCCAAGCCCCUGGUUCUGAGCAAAGGGAUUCCCCCUCUUUGAUCUUCAGUGUCCUGCAAUUGUCUCUCCUGUUACCAGGGGACCUGGCACACGCUUCAGCUCACAAAGAUCCGUGACGAAUGUUAAACACCCCCAGCGCCACCCCGCAGUCAGGGAUGGCUUGCACAGCUCACUCUGCUCCAUUUCUCUUGCCUUCUUUUUUUUUUUCUGCCCCCCCUCCACGAGACUGGCCCCAUUUUGAUAAUAAAAAUACAUUUCCCAGAA